UAAUGUGUAGGCUUUCUCAAAUUUACUUGACCAGGGAAUUUUGCUUUUUUUCUUAGUGCUGUUUAGGAACUCUUGAACAUCAGCGUCUUGCAAGGACUUCAGACCAACCAACCACUCGCCAAAAAUCUUGGCAGCUUUUUUAUCUUGUUUUUAAUACAAUGGUAUAUCCACUCUGAUGGCAAACCUGUCCAGCCACAUCUCCACAACAAGCUUUGCAAAAUCAG
rnacentral:lncRNA from 10 species